UAGAGUUUGAUCAUGGCCCUUACGGGAUGGGCUACACACGUGCUACAAUGGCAAGUACAGAGGGCAGCAAUACCGCGAGGUGGAGCGAAUCCCACAAAGCUUGUCGUAGUCCGGAUCGGAGUCUGCAACUCGACUCCGUGAAGUCGGAAUCGCUAGUAAUCGUAGAUCAGAAUGCUACGGUGAAUACGUUCCCGGGCCUUGUACACACCGCCCGUCACACCAUGGGAGUGGGUUGCAAAAGAAGUGGCUAGUUUAACCUUCGGGAGGACGGUCACCAC
rnacentral:rRNA from 1 species